rnacentral:tRNA from 1 species
GCGGGGGUAGCAAAGUCUGGUCAAAUGCGCUAGACUCAAGAUCUAGUCCUUAAGUAGGUUCGAGGGUUCGAAUCCCUUCCCCCGCA